UGUCAAGGGAUGGGAAUCGAACCCACGACCUUCCGCUUACCGGGCAGAUGCCAUGACCACUAGGCUAUCCGGGAC
rnacentral:tRNA from 1 species